GUGGCAGCGACGCGAGUUUGGGGGUGGGUGGCCGUGGCCGCUUACGUUGCCACUCACUCGUUGGUGCCACA
rnacentral:ribozyme from 1 species